CUACGGGUUGCUGCAGUGAGGAAUAUUGCACAAUGGGGGGAACCCUGAUGCAGCAACGCCGCGUGGAGGAUGACGCAUUUCGGUGUGUAAACUCCUUUUAUAUGUCAAGAAAAUGACGGUAGCAUAUGAAUAAGCACCGGCUAACUCCGUGCCAGCAGCCGCGGUAAUACGGUGGGUGCAAGCGUUACUCGGAAUCACUGGGCGUAAAGGACGCGUAGGCGGGUUGGAAAGUCAGGUGUGAAAUCCUACAGCUUAACUGUAGAACUGCACUUGAAACUUCUAAUCUAGAGUAUGGGAGGGGGAGAUGGAAUUAGUGGUGUAGGGGUAAAAUCCGUAGAUAUCACUAGGAAUACCUAAAGCGAAGGCGAUCUCCUGGAACAUUACUGACGCUAAGGCGUGAAAGCGCGGGGAGCAAACAGGAUUAGAUACCCUGGUAGUC
rnacentral:rRNA from 1 species